rnacentral:rRNA from 1 species
UACGUAGGGCGCAAGCGUUGUCCGGAAUUAUUGGGCGUAAAGAGCUUGUAGGCGGUUUGUCGCGUCUGCUGUGAAAAUCCGGGGCUCAACCCCGGACUUGCAGUGGGUACGGGCAGACUAGAGUGUGGUAGGGGAGACUGGAAUUCCUGGUGUAGCGGUGAAAUGCGCAGAUAUCAGGAGGAACACCGAUGGCGAAGGCAGGUCUCUGGGCCAUUACUGACGCUGAGAAGCGAAAGCAUGGGGAGCGAACAGG